AGAACGAACGCUGGCGGCAUGCCUAACACAUGCAAGUCGAACGAGACCUUCAGGUCUAGUGGCGCACGGGUGCGUAACGCGUGGGAAUCUGCCCUUGGGUUCGGAAUAACAGUUAGAAAUGACUGCUAAUACCGGAUGAUGACGUAAGUCCAAAGAUUUAUCGCCCAGGGAUGAGCCCGCGUAGGAUUAGCUAGUUGGUGGGGUAAAGGCCUACCAAGGCGACGAUCCUUAGCUGGUCUGAGAGGAUGAUCAGCCACACUGGGACUGAGACACGGCCCAGACUCCUACGGGAGGCAGCAGUGGGGAAUAUUGGACAAUGGGCGAAAGCCUGAUCCAGCAAUGCCGCGUGAGUGAUGAAGGCCUUAGGUUGUAAGCUCUUUACCGGGAUGAUAUGACAGUACCGGGAGAAUAAGCUCCGGCUAACUCCGCGCCAGCAGCCGC
rnacentral:rRNA from 1 species